rnacentral:rRNA from 1 species
CUGGCCUUGACAUGCUGAGAACUUUCCAAAGAUGGAUUGGUGCCUUCGGGAACUCAGACACAGGUGCUGCCUGGCUGUCGUCAGCUCGUGUCGUGAGAUGUUGGGUUAAGUCCCGUAACGAGCGCAACCCUUGUCCUUAGUUACCAGCACGUAAUGGUGGGAACUCUAAGGAGACUGCCGGUGACAAACCGGAGGAAGGUGGGGAUGACGUCAAGUCAUCAUGGCCCUUACGGCCAGGGCUACACACGUGCUACAAUGGUCGGUACAAAGGGUUGCCAAGCCGCGAGGUGGAGCUAAUCCCAUAAAACCGAUCGUAGUCCCGAUCGCAGUCUGCUACUCGACUGCUUGAAGUCGGAAUCGCUAGUAAUCGUGAAUCAGAAUGUCACGGCGAAUACGUUCC